rnacentral:lncRNA from 1 species
CUACUCUCCUCUCAAAUCUCUCUGACUUCUCUCUAAAACCUCUCCCUUCUCUCCAACCUUUCUCCUCUCUUCUCUCUUUCUUCUCUACCGCCGCCGCCGCCGCGGCUAUUUUUUUUUACUUUUUUUUUUCUCCACCGCCUCUCCUCAUCUUCCUUUUCUGGUCUCGCCGAAGGCGACGGGCGCCGCCGCCUCCGCCUCCGCCUCCUCUCUUCCCCCACAACGAACAAAGAAAGAAAAACAGAAGGAAGAAAAGGUAAAAACAUGGAAACCCCUCUUUCUACUUUAGUUUUUUUUUGUUUUGACUUCGAUUCGGGCUUGUAUGUUGUCUGCAAAUCCCGAUCUGUGGAUUUACGAUCUGAGUUUUUUUGGUUUUUAUAUUCUUUCCCUGAUUUCUGUUUUGUUUAUGUUGGUUUCUGUUUUCAAUGAAGAUGGGGAUUGGUGGAGCCGGAGAGGCAGAAAAAGUUUCCAUUGACGAUGGACUCACCGGAGCAAAGGACGAGAAAGGUAAAAGGUUGAACCCUUUAUUUAUUCUGAUUUUACUUGGUUGAUGAUAGUAGCUUUGUUUGAUUAGGUCACUUGAAAUAAAAUCAGGACUAUUUUGUUGUUACGAUGAGUUUAGAAAUCUGAACUUUCUAAAAAUUACCCAUUUGUUUGAAAUGUUAUUAUUUAGUGUCAUCCUUGAUAAAAUUUCAGCAACUUGUUAAGUUUUGAAUCUUAUUUUAGGGUUUGCUAGCACGUUUACCAACAUGAAACGUUUCCUUGAUUAGUCAUAAUGAAUAUUCCAGGAUGAUUUUUAAGAGAGUAUAAGUGCCACAAAAUGUAUGUAUGAAUAUUGCAUGAAUGCUUUUGAAUAGGAAUGUUUGGAUGAUUACCUUUGAAUCGAAGCUUCUUUUUUUGUCGUGUUUCAGGUGGUAGUCCCUUGCGAAUGACGACAAAGUGAAUGACGGUAGAAACGGUUGUACUUAGGUUUAGCUCGUGUUUGUAACUUGCUGUAAUAAUUUUCUUUUCUUCUUUAUUUUGGACUGGGACUUGGGGUGCAGGGAUUUUUUCGUCCAAAACCAUUCCUCCCCCCAUUUCUCCUCUUGUUUGUCCAUUUAAAUCAAGAAAAGAGGCUGCCACCUCCCCUCUCCCCCAAUGGAACUUGGCUACGUUUCUUGAAACAAAACAAGAGGUGGCAGCCUCUUAAUUAAUAACAGUAGCGGGCCCGAAAUUGGGCCCAAAAUACCGGGCCCGAAAUCGGGCCCGAAAACAUUGACAUUUCGACGUAGAAAAGAAUUACGAAACUAAAAGUACGAAAGCCCGGACAAAUUUGGUUACUACAAUGAUGAUUGUACCUUUUCCUUCAACUUCUAGCUUUUUACCAUCUCCAAUCUUCACUUGGGACCUACAUGUGUCAUCCAUAUCGGUGAAGGAAUCUCGAUCUCCAGUCAUGUGAUUACUACAACCAUUGUUUCAUCAUCUUAUGCUAC